GAGGAUUACGGUUCGAUUCCGCGAGAGGGAGCCUGAGAAACGGCUACCACAUCCAAGGAAGGCAGCAGGCGCGCAAAUUACCCAAUCCCGACACGGGGAGGUAGUGACAAUAAAUAACAAUACAGGGCUCUUUCGGGUCUUGUAAUUGGAAUGAGUACAAUUUAAAUCCCUUAACGAGGAACAAUUGGAGGGCAAGUCUGGUGCCAGCAGCCGCGGUAAAAAGCUCGUAGUUGAAUUUCGGGGUUCCACCGUUGGUCGGGCUAUUGUCUGUACUGGCGUGUGGAAUUUCUACCUUCUGGGGAACUAUCAUGUUAUUAAUUUAGCGUGGUAGGAAACCAGGACCUUUACCUUGAAAAAAUUAGAGUGUUCAAAGCAGGCUGACCGUUACUUUGGAAAAAAAAUAAUGUUGUGAGCAGGCUGACCCCUGAUUACUUUAUCAUGGAGUAAUAAUAAAAGACGACGGUGGUGCUAUUUGUUGUUUUCAAUCACCGUUGUGAUGAUUAAGAAGGAUAGGGGGGGGUAUUAGUAUUCUGUUGCAGGAGGUGAAAUUCUUGUAUUUGUUGAAGACUAACUACUGCUACAGCAUUUGCCGAUGAUGUUUUCAUUAAUCAAGAACGAUAGUUAGGGGAUCGAAGACGAUCACAUACCGUCGUAGUCUUAACCAUAAACUAUGCCUACUAGGAAUCGGAUGAUGAUGAUUUUUUGACUCUCNCGUCUCCUCCUGNACACANNGAGGUUGGGNGG
rnacentral:rRNA from 1 species